CUUCACAUUCCAAUAAGCAAUUAACAUUCAAAUUCCGCAAACUGAGUCAUUAUAGACAUAAUCUUGACAAAGCUUCUCCUAGUAAACUCAAGAAAUCUUAGGAAAAUUGAGUAUUUAAUUUCCAACUACACAGUCGAAUGUCAGCUUCACAAAUACAAAAUGCAAAAAUUAUAAAUGCAUAGAUUCUUUUGGUUUUCUAAUUCACGUGCACUCUCUCUCUUCCAUCAAGUUAACAUCGAUCUUGUAUCUACACCAUUGUUGCUAGAUCUUCUUGAGUUGCUCCUAGCAUUGGUGAAGCCAAAGUCUUGCUUUGGUUGCUAGGUAAUGUAGAUGAUGGACACGCAUUCUUCCUCCCUUUGAUUUCUCUAUAGAGAUUGGAGAGAGCCAAAAAAGCAAGAAACCCAAAAUAACUUGCAAGGGCCAUAAGAAGAAAGGUUGAUAUGAAAACAAUGGUUAAACCAAUAGUAUCUUCAUAAGAAUCUAUAGGAGUUCCAUCUACAGCUACCCAUAUCAAUAUACCAGCAAUACAUGCACAUAUAAUAACCAUGACAGCAUUGAAAAUAAAUGACUCCCUUGGCUUCACAUUUAAACCUGUUCAAGUAAGGAAGUCCAAUUUACAAUGUUAAGAGUAAAAUAUAACAAAGAAAUUAAUAAAUUUAUAACAAAAAAAAAUUAUAAAGAUGGAACCAUAUUAUAGGUUAGUGGGAUUUAGGAACAUUGAAUACCUUGGUGUUUAUUGCCACUAGGCAAUGAAUUGUGCUCAUUGGAUGAUCUAUUACGUUGUUUCCUUGAUUUUGCUUCUGUGUUCACUGAAGUAGAUGGGGACAAUGGAGCUGCAAUCUUCUUGUCGCCGGCAGCCACCGUGGAGUUGAGUUCAUCAGUCAUCUUGUAGAAUUCGAAAAUUCUAAGCGAAGAUGAGAACGAAAAUCAUAGCAAUAAAUAGGCCCUGCCCAAAGAGUCAAC
rnacentral:misc_RNA from 1 species